GGUUAAUGAGGACUUAGAAGGAAAACAUAUUUGUGAACAUACCAACAUUUAGAUGAUGAGGAAACUGGUGUACACAUGGAAGAAAGAAAUGAUGGCUUAAGGAAGUUGAUGCUAUGUGAUCAUGUAUUUAAAUUUUACAUUGUCAAGACUAUUUUUAUUACAAUAAAAAUUUCUUUUACUUUG